rnacentral:rRNA from 1 species
UUCCCUCGGNAUGAAACCUCUUGUUGACCGGGAAGAGACAGAGGUCCCGUACCGAGGAAGCCNCGGCAANUACGUGCCACACCCGGUAAUACAUAGGGGCAAGCCUGUCCAGAAUGCCUGGGCGUAAAGCGCACGCAGCGGCCCAAUCAAGUCGCUUGUAAAAAGCAGUGGCUCAACUACUGUGUAAGACGGCCGAUACUGAUGGAGCUAGAGUAUCGUGAGAGGGAACGGAAUUCCCGGUGUACGGUGGAAAUGCGUAGAUAUCGGGAGGAACACCAGUGGCGAAAGCGGCUUCACAAUGGCACAAGACUGACAGUCUCAUGUGCGAAAGCUAGGGUAACCGAACGGGAUUAGAUACCCCGGUAGUCCUAGCACGUGAAACGAUGGAUANAUGGGUGUGGGUGACAAGCAGGGCAUCUGUCGCCGGAAGUGAACGCAAUUAAGUAUCCCGCCUGGGGAAUACAGGUCGCAAGACAUGAAACAUCAAAGGAAUUGACGGGGGCCCGCACAANCGGUGGAGCACGUGGUNUAANUCGAUGCAAAACCGAAGAACCUUACCUGGGUUUGACAUAGACGGUCGUUAGGCGCGAGAAGAUUGCAGCUGACCGCGCCAGAGAUGCGCGGAGCCGCACACAGGUGACUGCAUGGCAGUCGUCAGCUCGUGUCGUGAGAUGUUGGGUCAAGUCCCGGAAACGAGCGA